rnacentral:rRNA from 1 species
CCUACGGGAGGCAGCAGUGAGGAAUAUUGGUCAAUGGGCGUAAGCCUGAACCAGCCAAGUCGCGUGAGGGAUGAAGGUUCUAUGGAUCGUAAACCUCUUUUAUAAGGGAAUAAAGUGUGGGACGUGUCCUAUUUUGUAUGUACCUUAUGAAUAAGGAUCGGCUAACUCCGUGCCAGCAGCCGCGGUAAUACGGAGGGGCCGAGCGUUAAUCGGAUUGAAUGGGUGUAACGGGUGCGUAGGCGGGAUGUUAAGUCAGCGGUGAAAGUCUGUGGCUCAACCAUAGAAUUGCCGUUGAAACUGGGGAGCUUGAGUAUGUGAGAGGCUGGCGGAAUGCGUGGUGUAGCGGUGAAAUGCGUAGAUAUCACGCAGAACCCCGGUGGCGAAGGCAGCCUGCCAAGCCAUGACUGACGCUGAUGAACGAAAGCGUGGGUAUCAAACAGGAUUAGAUACCCUAGUAGUC